rnacentral:ribozyme from 1 species
GAAUCCCCCGACUUUGCUUUUCGAAUGAAACUGUUUACUUGUGGAGAGAUUUAGUAGGCUGCGCAUUGCGACCGCGCACGCUCGGCCCAU